rnacentral:lncRNA from 1 species
AGUUUCCCAGGCCCCAGUUGAGGUCUUCUACUUAGUAUGCUUUCUUACGUGGUGGCCUGAACCGCGAAGGUGUUUUGCUUUCACGAGAAACGCCAGGGGGUGGAGGAGUGUGUAGUGGUAUUUCCGGUGGGGUGAACACGUCUGCGCUUCGCGGUUGCCAUAGAAACCUGACGUCAAUAUGGCGACCGUGACGACAUUUCUAUAGAGACACAUGUAGCCUGGAGAAAAGAGCAGGUCUCGUCCUUAGGUGUUUGGGACUCAGCUGAGGGUGUGGGUCCCCGCGGUGGGGGCUGAGCCUCCUCGGGGUGUAGGGAGACAAAGGGACCCAGAUCCAAGUCGCCUCUUUCCUGCUUUAGGAUUCGGUGCCUUGGCUGUCUGCUAGUCCAUGUGCCGUCUUAUCCCCCGAUUCUCCUUCUAGUGGACCGUCAGAGAAGGGUGUGGACUCUGAGCCUCAGAAACAGGAGCUGAUACAGAAGAACCAAGUGUGAUAUUGAAUCUGCUAGACAGGUUCCUGGAGCAAGAGUGAAGAGAUCACGGUCCCAUCAAUGGGACACUUUAGUGCAUGGAGCCUGAAAUAGUAUUGUAUUUUUAAGAGAAUACACAUCAUUGACUUGCAUCAUGGGCUGUUCUUCCUUCUCCUUAUAGGGUCCAGGCCUGCUUACUGGUAGAGAAGAUCUUAUAUGAAGCAGAAACUCCACGUCACCUCAGAUGAAUCCCGCAGAGGACUAAAUGGGAGGUACCACCCUCCUAGGGAUAAGACAGACACAAAACCAAUUCCAAAAUCUACCAUGAGACCUAACCAAGGAUUAAAGAGAAAGUAAAACCCUAGUUCAUGCCUGUGAGAAGAACCAAGACUGAAAUCACACAAGGGUUACUGCAUCCUUCACUCUCUAUCCGGGAGUGAGAUCCUGUCAGAAGGUAGUAGCCCAUUAGCACUAUGCAAAAGUAUAGAAGUUUGGGUUAUAAGAUGCCUCAGUUUCCCGAGGUGGAAGACUUUCCCCACUCAACCCCAUCAUUUCCCGUUUAGAUACUGGGUUUCCAGGACUCAAGAUGAAGGUUGGUCUGUACUUACUUGGAAUGGAGUCUCUUUCGGGUGGGUGCUGACAUCUGUCUCGCUCCCUGUGGACAUUUCUACUUAUGCCGUUCUAGAAAUCAAGAGAGGGAAGAUGUGGGAUGCAGAUGUAGAAUUAGAUGGACAGUGCCUGGCACACAGUAAACACUCAAUACACGUUAAUAAAUAAAGGAGAUGUAGAGGCAGGAAUAAGCAGGAAAUAAAACUAAGUAUAUGUCCUCUCAGUCUGUUAUAUACAUAUGAAUCUUUCAAAGAGUGUUGGGAUUACACUGUACUUAUUAUUUAGUUACCUACUUUUAAGAGAAUACGUUGUUUUUAGUUCUAAAAAUUAUACUUUUUCUUGGGGAAAAAAUAACCUGUAGAAAAUGGAGAAAGAUGCCACCUGGUCAUCUGCAUCAGAAUCCCAGGUGUGAAAGUCAACUAGGGGGAUUGGCAAAGGGUGAGGUAAUAGCGGGGAGUGAGGGAUGUGCGUGAAUUCCAUUGUAUGGGCCAAAGCUUUCUGGAAUUUUCCACACACUGGUGGUGAUCCUUCUGUAUUUGUGCCCAUCCUGGUAUUUUCAAGCCCUGAGGCUAGAAGUCCAGCCCCAUGUGAACUAAAUAGAAAGCUGCACAAGUUAGUAUAUGAAUAAUUGGUAUAAAGAAGUUUGAGACAUGGAAACAUGCACACACAGAAGCAGUGUCAAAUAACUUGUUUUGAUCUGCUGCUUUUACUUUUAUAAAACAGUAAACUGUGAACAUUUUUCCAAAGCAAUGAAUAUAUAAGCAUCAUAUUUGUAAUCAACUCAUAAUUAUUUUAUGUUUUCAACAUUUUAUACAAUAAACGUUCUAUAUUUAAAACACUAUGGAAAUGCAGAUUUGUAAAAUGAGGGGCUGGCCGAGUGGUUGAGUUUGUAUGCUCCACUUCCGUGGCCCAGGGUUUCGCCGGUUCGGGUCCUGGGCGCUGACAUGGCACCACUCAUCAGGCCACGCUGAGGCGGUGUCGCACAUAGCACAACUAGAAGGACCUACAACUAGAAUAUACAACUAUGUACUGGGGGGCUUUGGGGAGAAGAAAAAAAAAAAGAUUGGCAAUAGAUGUUAGCUCAGGGUCAAUCUUAAAAAAAAUUGUAAAAUGAAAGUAAUCCUCUAUCUCCCACCAACCCAUACACAUUGAAUUAGUAUCAAAGAAAUCUUUUUAAUGUGUUAUUUUCACACCAAAGUAUUUGAUCAUGUUUUUAAAUCAAUAAAUGUAUUUCUGCACUAUCAUAUGGUGACUUGGUUUGUAGGUUUUCCUAUUUUAAAAAAUAUCUCAAUAACUUUUUCAGAUUACCAGUUGAUACUUUUUGUUUUUUUUAACAAGUAUCAAACUUUAUGGAAAUGUAUAUUAAAAACCUGAAAUUAUUUGUCUCUCCCUUCUGCCUCCACCUUCUGCCCAUCAUAAACAGAGAUUAUCUCUGUUAACUUAU